GACACCAGCUGUUUAAAACUAACUUCCUUUAUGUCAGGAUAAAUGAUGUGUUUUGGGUAUUAUGACUUUCGCCGUGUUAUCACACUUGUAUGUGCGUAAUAAUCUUUGGAGCGGUUAAGGCAGACAUUUUACACUGGUGUGGGUUAGUAACCUGGUAGCCUUACUUGUCUGAAGAGGAUUCUUUCAAGGGGACACGGACGAAACCUAAUAAGCGGUCCCAACAGUGAGCAGCGAGCACCGCGUCAUGUGAUGUGAAGUGUGUCUGUCGACCCUAAAGCCUUGACCUCUCACCCCUGACCCCGUGAGGUCACAGAUGGUCCAUAUCUGGCCCGACCCAGGAGACUUCCUCCUCCAUCCUGAUCCUCAACAUCAGUCAGUGAGCAGUGUGUUGUGUUCCGGCUGAACGCUCCAACGGCAUCCUGACCACCACCUAACACCACCCACCACCUUGGGCAUGCCUCAGCCGGGCAUGAAUGGGAUGGAGCCUGCGUUUGGCGAGGCGUAUGGGAGCCGUGGCUGUCUCCUCAGCCCCUACCCCCUGGCUGUCUCCCCUCUAGGGGGCAGGACCGAAUAUGACCAGAGCGUGCUCCUGAUGCUGGGCUCUCCAGCGACGCCGCGGAAACGGCCCUUCGAGUUGCUAAGCGACCUGGUGGACGACGGGGGCUUCGGCGAG